UACUAGCUGCAGAUUUUGGUAGCACUUUGUGCAAAUACCUGUGCAAACAUUGUUAGAAGAGUUAUGACAAAGCUGGAACAAAUAAUCUAUGGUCUCAAUAUAGUUUAAAAAGCAGAAAGUCAAAGCGACCAUUUUAGCACCUUGCCCUCUGCAAAGUUAUAACAAAAGCCUGCCUCAAAGCUCAUUAAGGAUGGAGCAAGGCCAAAUUUGAAGAGCAAAUUGCCGAAUUUUUAAAAUAUGCUUCAGGCAAGCAAGGUGGUUCCAGACUUAAGGUCCGAAAAUGCAACUUAUUGGAAUCGGCUUAGUUAGCAUUUUUGUAAAUAUGUAUAUUAAAACACACACAGCAAAAUAUAUGAAUUAAAAGUUGAUUAUAUGGAAAUUAAAUUUUAGUUCGUAUCAUUGGAAA